rnacentral:tRNA from 1 species
UGAGAUUAGCUCAGUUGGUUAGAGCAUGGUGCUAAUAUCGCUGAGGUUGUGGGUGCAAUCCCUGUAUGGGCUUAC